AACGAACGCUGGCGGCAUGCCUAACACAUGCAAGUCGAACGAAGUGGCGCACGGGUGCGUAACGCGUGGGAAUCUGCCCUUAGGUUCGGAAUAACAGCUGGAAACGGCUGCUAAUACCGGAUGCCUGAGGAUGAGCCCGCGUUGGAUUAGGUAGUUGGUGGGGUAAAGGCCUACCAAGCCGACGAUCCAUAGCUGGUCUGAGAGGAUGAUCAGCCACACUGGGACUGAGACACGGCCCAGACUCCUACGGGAGGCAGCAGUGGGGAAUAUUGGACAAUGGGCGAAAGCCUGAUCCAGCAAUGCCGCGUGAGUGAUGAAGGCCCUAGGGUUGUAAAGCUCUUUUACCCGGGAAGCUGUACCGGGAGAAUAAGCCCCGGCUAACUCCGUGCCAGCAGCCGCGGUAAUAC
rnacentral:rRNA from 1 species